GUAUAACUACAGUCAUCAAACGUUUUGUCUUCUACGAGGACCUUUAGUUUUUUAAGCCGUCUAAGGCAAAAAUCGUGUGGCUGUGCUGAGCUUCCUUAAUGCUUCUCCUCUGGUCUCCAGCAGAUCGCGUUUCUGUUUCUGAUGCGUGAUUGGAAAGAUAUACGCUCUCGUUGAUCGUUGUAAACAAAGAACGUGUACUCGUGCUGACUGACGGGAGUAACAUGCCGGAAAGAGGAGUAUUACAUCCUCUGCACAACGUAGAAGAUCUUCUUUUGACCUGGAAAAGAAAAAGCCCUCUUGAAAGUAAUGAAAUCUUAG